UACGUAGGGGGCAAGCGUUGUCCGGAAUCAUUGGGCGUAAAGCGCGUGUAGGCGGUUCGGUAAGUCGGCUGUGAAAGUCCAGGGCUCAACCCUGGGAUGCCGGUCGAUACUGCCGGACUAGAGUUCGGAAGAGGCGAGUGGAAUUCCCGGUGUAGCGGUGAAAUGCGCAGAUAUCAGGAAGAACACCCGUGGCGAAGGCGGUUCUCUGGGACGGUACUGACGCUGAGACGCGAAAGCGUGGGGAGCGAACAGG
rnacentral:rRNA from 1 species